rnacentral:rRNA from 1 species
CCUGAGAAACCCAAAAGUUCGAAUGGGGAGAUUCAUCGUCAGCACAUUUGAUAUGUGUGCAGGUUAUGAUGCAUGUUGUUCUCAAUGUUGCACGUACUUGUAUUACUUUAUUGUCAAGUGUUGUCGGCGUGCACUUCUCCCCUUGUAGGACGUCGCAACCCGUUAAAUGUCAGUUUGUGGCCCGGAUGGGACCCUCUAAUUUUUUUUGAAUUGGAGACCGUGGGGACCUAAUUGGGUGUUUGACGGGAAUUAAAUGGUAUCGGUUGGAAUAAUUUUACGUCAAGCUCGUCACAAGUAUGAUUAAUUUCCCGGCAGCRCGGAUCUGAUGCCGUCGCUGGGRUUGAUCGACUGUUUGUGUGCRAUGRUCUUUGACUGGCUCACUGUUACCGGUUUGCGACGCUACUGCUUUGGUACUUUC